rnacentral:rRNA from 1 species
GCUCUCAGAGGCGAAGAAGGACGUGAUAAGCUGCGAAAAGCUGCGGGGAUUGGCACAUACCAAUAGAUCCGCAGAUUUCCGAAUGGGGAAACCC